rnacentral:rRNA from 1 species
CAGUCGCCGCGGUGAUACGGAGGGUGCAAGCGUUACUCGGAAUCACUGGGCGUAAAGGACGCGUAGGCGGAUUAUCAAGUCUCUUGUGAAAUCUAACGGUUUAACCGUUAAACUGCUUGGGAAACUGAUAAUCUAGAGUAAGGGAGAGGCAGAUGGAAUUCUUGGUGUAGGGGUAAAAUCCGUAGAUAUCAAGAAGAAUACCUAUUGCGAAGGCGAUCUGCUGGAACUUAACUGACGCUAAUGCGUGAAAGCGUGGGGAGCAAACAGGAUUAGAUACCCCGGUAGUCCCUGUCUCUUAUAC